UGGGGAAUUUUGGACAAUGGGCGGAAGCCUGAUCCAGCAAUGCCGCGUGUGUGAAGAAGGCCUUCGGGUUGUAAAGCACUUUUGUCCGGAAAGAAAUCCUUGGCUCUAAUACAGUCGGGGGAUGACGGUACCGGAAGAAUAAGCACCGGCUAACUACGUGCCAGCAGCCGCGGUAAUACGUAGGGUGCAAGCGUUAAUCGGAAUUACUGGGCGUAAAGCGUGCGCAGGCGGUUUGCUAAGACCGAUGUGAAAUCCCCGGGCUCAACCUGGGAACUGCAUUGGUGACUGGCAGGCUAGAGUAUGGCAGAGGGGGGUAGAAUUCCACGUGUAGCAGUGAAAUGCGUAGAGAUGUGGAGGAAUACCGAUGGCGAAGGCAGCCCCCUGGGCCAAUACUGACGCUCAUGCACGAAAGCGUGGGGAGCAAACAGGAUUAGAUACCCUGGUAGUCCACGCCCUAAACGAUGUCAACUAGUUGUUGGGGAUUCAUUUCCUUAGUAACGUAGCUAACGCGUGAAGUUGACCGCCUGGGGAGUACGGUCGCAAGAUUAAAACUCAAAGGAAUUGACGGGGUCAUAGCUGUUUCCU
rnacentral:rRNA from 1 species